GUUGAACGCUGGCGGCAUGCUUUACACAUGCAAGUCGAACGGUAACAGGUUAAGCUGACGAGUGGCGAACGGGUGAGUAAUGCCUAGGAAUCUGCCCGAUAGUGGGGGACAACGUUUCGAAAGGAACGCUAAUACCGCAUACGUCCUACGGGAGAAAGUGGGGGCUCUUCGGACCUCACGCUAUCGGAUGAGCCUAGGUCGGAUUAGCUAGUUGGUGGGGUAAAGGCUCACCAAGGCGACGAUCCGUAACUGGUCUGAGAGGAUGAUCAGUCACACUGGAACUGAGACACGGUCCAGACUCCUACGGGAGGCAACAGUGGGGAAUAUUGGACAAUGGGCGAAAGCCUGAUCCAGCCAUGCCGCGUGUGUGAAGAAGGUCUUCGGAUUGUAAAGCACUUUAAGUCGGGAGGAAGGGCUGUAGGUUAAUACCUUGCAGCCUUGACGUUACCGACAGAAUAAGCACCGGCUAACUUCGUGCCAGCCGCCGCCGUAA
rnacentral:rRNA from 1 species